rnacentral:rRNA from 1 species
CCCGCACAAGCGGUGCAGCAUGUGGUUUAAUUCGACGAUACGCGAAGAACCUUACCUGGCCUUGACAUAGAAAGAACUUACUAGAGAUAGUUUGGUGCUAGCUUACUAGAACUUUCAUACAGGUGCUGCACGGCUGUCGUCAGCUCGUGUCGUGAGAUGUUGGGUUAAGUCCCGCAACGAGCGCANCCCUCGUGUUUAGUUACUAACAGUUCGGCUGAGGACUCUAGACAGACUGCCUGGGUAACCAGGAGGAAGGUGAGGACGACGUCAAGUCAUCAUGGCCCUUACGGCCAGGGCUACACACGUGCUACAAUGGGGUAUACAAAGAGCCGCAAUACCGCGAGGUGGAGCAAAUCUCAUAAAAUAUCUCCCAGUUCGGAUUGAAGUCUGC